AGGAAUAGCCUUCAACGCUAGCUACAGGCUUAACACAUGCAAGUCGAGGGGCAUCAGGAAGAAAGCUUGCUUUCUUUGCUGCGACCGGCGCACGGGUGAGUAACACGUAUCCAACCUGCCCUUUACUCGGGGAUAGCCUUUCGAAAGAAAGAUUAAUACCCGAUAGCAUAAUGAUUCCGCAUGGUUUCAUUAUUAAAGGAUUCCGGUAAAGGAUGGGGAUGCGUUCCAUUAGGUUGUUGGUGAGGUAACGGCUCACCAAGCCUUCGAUGGAUAGGGGUUCUGAGAGGAAGGUCCCCCACAUUGGAACUGAGACACGGUCCAAACUCCUACGGGAGGCAGCAGUGAGGAAUAUUGGUCAAUGGGCGCUAGCCUGAACCAGCCAAGUAGCGUGAAGGAUGAAGGCUCUAUGGGUCGUAGACUUCUUUUAUAUAAGAAUAAAGUGCAUAUGUAUACUGUUUUGUAUGUAUUAUAUGAAUAAGGAUCGGCUAACUCCGUGCCAGCAGCCGCGGUAAUACGGAGGAUCCGAGCGUUAUCCGGAUUUAUUGGGUUUAAAGGGAGCGUAGGUGGACUGGUAAGUCAGUUGUGAAAGUUUGCGGCUCAACCGUAAAAUUGCAGUUGAUACUGUCAGUCUUGAGUACAGUAGAGGUGGGCGGAAUUCGUGGUGUAGCGGUGAAAUGCUUAGAUAUCACGAAGAACUCCGAUUGCGAAGGCAGCUCACUGGACUGCAACUGACACUGAUGCUCGAAAGUGUGGGUAUCAAACAGGAUUAGAUACCCUGGUAGUCCACACAGUAAACGAUGAAUACUCGCUGUUUGCGAUAUACAGUAAGCGGCCAAGCGAAAGCAUUAAGUAUUCCACCUGGGGAGUACGCCGGCAACGGUGAAACUCAAAGGAAUUGACGGGGGCCCGCACAAGCGGAGGAACAUGUGGUUUAAUUCGAUGAUACGCGAGGAACCUUACCCGGGCUUAAAUUGCAGUGGAAUGAUGUGGAAACAUGUCAGUGAGCAAUCACCGCUGUGAAGGUGCUGCAUGGUUGUCGUCAGCUCGUGCCGUGAGGUGUCGGCUUAAGUGCCAUAACGAGCGCAACCCUUAUCUUUAGUUACUAACAGGUUAUGCUGAGGACUCUAGAGAGACUGCCGUCGUAAGAUGUGAGGAAGGUGGGGAUGACGUCAAAUCAGCACGGCCCUUACGUCCGGGGCUACACACGUGUUACAAUGGGGGGUACAGAAGGCAGCUAGCGGGUGACCGUAUGCUAAUCCCAAAAUCCUCUCUCAGUUCGGAUCGAAGUCUGCAACCCGACUUCGUGAAGCUGGAUUCGCUAGUAAUCGCGCAUCAGCCACGGCGCGGUGAAUACGUUCCCGGGCCUUGUACACACCGCCCGUCAAGCCAUGGGAGCCGGGGGUACCUGAAGUACGUAACCGCAAGGAUCGUCCUAGGGUAAACCGAGUUAGC
rnacentral:rRNA from 1 species